rnacentral:rRNA from 1 species
GGGUUGUGAGGUUAAGCGACUAAGCGUACACGGUGGAUGCCCUGGCAGUCAGAGGCGAUGAAGGACGUGCUAAUCUGCGAUAAGCGCCGGUAAGGUGAUAUGAACCGUUAUAACCGGCGAUACCCGAAUGGGGAAACCCAGUGUGACUCGUCACACUAUCAUUAACUGAAUCCAUAGGUUAAUGAGGCGAACCGGGGGAACUGAAACAUCUAAGUACCCCGAGGAAAAGAAAUCAACCGAGAUUCCCCCAGUAGCGGCGAGCGAACGGGGAGGAGCCCAGAGCCUGAAUCAGCAUGUGUGUUAGUGGAAGCGUCUGGAAAGGCGCGCGAUACAGGGUGACAGCCCCGUACACAAAAGCGCAUGUGCUGUGAGCUCGAUGAGUAGGGCGGGACACGUGGUAUCCUGUCUGAAUAUGGGGGGACCAUCCUCCAAGGCUAAAUACUCCUGACUGACCGAUAGUGAACCAGUACCGUGAGGGAAAGGCGAAAAGAACCCCGGCGAGGGGAGUGAAAAAGAACCUGAAACCGUGUACGUACAAGCAGUGGGAGCACCCUUUGGGGUGUGACUGCGUACCUUUUGUAUAAUGGGUCAGCGACUUAUAUUCUGUAGCAAGGUUAACCGUAUAGGGGAGCCGUAGGGAAACCGAGUCUUAACCGGGCGUUAAGUUGCAGGGUAUAGACCCGAAACCCGGUGAUCUAGCCAUGGGCAGGUUGAAGGUUGGGUAACACUAACUGGAGGACCGAACCGACUAAUGUUGAAAAAUUAGCGGAUGACCUGUGGCUGGGGGUGAAAGGCCAAUCAAACCGGGAGAUAGCUGGUUCUCCCCGAAAGCUAUUUAGGUAGCGCCUCGUGAAUUCAUCUCCGGGGGUAGAGCACUGUUUCGGCUAGGGGGCCAUCCCGGCUUACCAACCCGAUGCAAACUGCGAAUACCGGAGAAUGUUAUCACGGGAGACACACGGCGGGUGCUAACGUCCGUCGUGAAGAGGGAAACAACCCAGACCGCCAGCUAAGGUCCCAAAGUCAUGGUUAAGUGGGAAACGAUGUGGGAAGGCCCAGACAGCCAGGAUGUUGGCUUAGAAGCAGCCAUCAUUUAAAGAAAGCGUAAUAGCUCACUGGUCGAGUCGGCCUGCGCGGAAGAUGUAACGGGGCUAAACCAUGCACCGAAGCUGCGGCAGCGAACGUAUCACCCAAGACAACUUUACGGAGUUGACGAUUGACGGAGCGAAGCGACGUCAAAGCGUUCAUUAAAGUCGAGUUGGCUUAGGGAUACGUUCGUUGGGUAGGGGAGCGUUCUGUAAGCCUGUGAAGGUGUGUCGUGAGGCAUGCUGGAGGUAUCAGAAGUGCGAAUGCUGACAUAAGUAACGAUAAAGCGGGUGAAAAGCCCGCUCGCCGGAAGACCAAGGGUUCCUGUCCAACGUUAAUCGGGGCAGGGUGAGUCGACCCCUAAGGCGAGGCCGAAAGGCGUAGUCGAUGGGAAACGGGUUAAUAUUCCCGUACUUGGUGUUACUGCGAAGGGGGGACGGAGAAGGCUAUGUUGGCCGGGCGACGGUUGUCCCGGUUUAAGCGUGUAGGUGUGUGUUCCAGGUAAAUCCGGUUCACUUUAACACUGAGGCGUGACGACGAGGCACUACGGUGCUGAAGCAACAAAUGCCCUGCUUCCAGGAAAAGCCUCUAAGCAUCAGGUAACAUCAAAUCGUACCCCAAACCGACACAGGUGGUCAGGUAGAGAAUACCAAGGCGCUUGAGAGAACUCGGGUGAAGGAACUAGGCAAAAUGGUGCCGUAACUUCGGGAGAAGGCACGCUGACACGUAGGUGAAGUGAUUUACUCACGGAGCUGAAGUCAGUCGAAGAUACCAGCUGGCUGCAACUGUUUAUUAAAAACACAGCACUGUGCAAACACGAAAGUGGACGUAUACGGUGUGACGCCUGCCCGGUGCCGGAAGGUUAAUUGAUGGGGUCAGCGCAAGCGAAGCUCCUGAUCGAAGCCCCGGUAAACGGCGGCCGUAACUAUAACGGUCCUAAGGUAGCGAAAUUCCUUGUCGGGUAAGUUCCGACCUGCACGAAUGGCGUAAUGAUGGCCAGGCUGUCUCCACCCGAGACUCAGUGAAAUUGAACUCGCUGUGAAGAUGCAGUGUACCCGCGGCAAGACGGAAAGACCCCGUGAACCUUUACUAUAGCUUGACACUGAACAUUGAGCCUUGAUGUGUAGGAUAGGUGGGAGGCUUUGAAGUGUGGACGCCAGUCUGCAUGGAGCCGACCUUGAAAUACCACCCUUUAAUGUUUGAUGUUCUAACGUGGACCCGUUACCCGGGUUGCGGACAGUGUCUGGUGGGUAGUUUGACUGGGGCGGUCUCCUCCUAAAGAGUAACGGAGGAGCACGAAGGUUGGCUAAUCCUGGUCGGACAUCAGGAGGUUAGUGCAAUGGCAUAAGCCAGCUUGACUGCGAGCGUGACGGCGCGAGCAGGUGCGAAAGCAGGUCAUAGUGAUCCGGUGGUUCUGAAUGGAAGGGCCAUCGCUCAACGGAUAAAAGGUACUCCGGGGAUAACAGGCUGAUACCGCCCAAGAGUUCAUAUCGACGGCGGUGUUUGGCACCUCGAUGUCGGCUCAUCACAUCCUGGGGCUGAAGUAGGUCCCAAGGGUAUGGCUGUUCGCCAUUUAAAGUGGUACGCGAGCUGGGUUUAGAACGUCGUGAGACAGUUCGGUCCCUAUCUGCCGUGGGCGCUGGAGAACUGAGGGGGGCUGCUCCUAGUACGAGAGGACCGGAGUGGACGCAUCACUGGUGUUCGGGUUGUCAUGCCAAUGGCACUGCCCGGUAGCUAAAUGCGGAAGAGAUAAGUGCUGAAAGCAUCUAAGCACGAAACUUGCCCCGAGAUGAGUUCUCCCUGAGACUUAGAGUCUCCUGAAGGAACGUUGAAGACGACGACGUUGAUAGGCCGGGUGUGUAAGCGCAGCGAUGCGUUGAGCUAACCGGUACUAAUGAACCGUGAGGCUUAACCUUACAACGCCGAAG